rnacentral:rRNA from 1 species
AAUAUUGGACAAUGGGCGCAAGCCUGAUCCAGCAACGCCGCGUGGAGGAAGAAGGCUUCGGUUGUAAACUCCUUUUGUGAGGGAUGAGACAAGGACAGUACCUCGCGAAUAAGUCACGGCUAACUAGGUGCCAGCAGCCGCGGUAACACCUAGGUGACAAGCGUUAUCCGGAUUUACUGGGCGUAAAGGGCUCGCAGACGGCAGCUCAAGUCCGGCGUGAAAUCUCCUGGCUUAACCAGGAGGGGUCGUCGGAUACUGUGUUGCUAGAGGCAGUGAGAGGGGUGCGGAAUUCUCGGUGGAGUGGUGGAAUACGUAGAUAUCGAGAGGAACACCAGUGGCGAAAGCGGCACCCUGGCACUGACCUGACGUUCAUGAGCGAAAGCGUGGGGAGCGAACGGGAUUAGAUACCCCGGUAGUCCACGCUGUA